rnacentral:rRNA from 1 species
UUUUAUUUGAGAGUUUGAUCCUGGCUCAGGAUGAACGCUGGCGGCGUGCCUAACACAUGCAAGUUGAGCGAUUUACUUCGGUAAAGAGCGGCGGACGGGUGAGUAACGCGUGGGUAACCUACCCUGUACACACGGAUAACAUACCGAAAGGUAUGCUAAUACGGGAUAAUAUAUUUGAGAGGCAUCUCUUGAAUAUCAAAGGUGAGCCAGUACAGGAUGGACCCGCGUCUGAUUAGCUAGUUGGUAAGGUAACGGCUUACCAAGGCGACGAUCAGUAGCCGACCUGAGAGGGUGAUCGGCCACAUUGGAACUGAGACACGGUCCAAACUCCUACGGGAGGCAGCAGUGGGGAAUAUUGCACAAUGGGCGAAAGCCUGAUGCAGCAACGCCGCGUGAGUGAUGAAGGCCUUCGGGUCGUAAAACUCUGUCCUCAAGGAAGAUAAUGACGGUACUUGAGGAGGAAGCCCCGGCUAACUACGUGCCAGCAGCCGCGGUAAUACGUAGGG